CUCCUCUGGUGCCUGAGCUGUGCCGAGGGGGAUGGUUCCCGAGCAGCUCCUGGUGUCAGACAGCCAGGCGAUUAGGUUACAGGGAUCGCUUUGCAGGGGCUACCCGUGGACUUGUCAUGAAUUCAGGAACAGCGUGGGACAUCUCCAAAGAGGCCUGACCCCCUUGCACAGGCGUCCCAACCUGGCCUGGGAGCCUGAGUGGGCACUGCCUGUCGGGGAGGAACAGACACCCGGUGAGCCUGGUGCACGGGGCCUCAGGCCUGCUCAAGAGCACAGCCCUGCCUGGCCUGCUAACAGACUCUGGCCGGACUCCUUGGCCCACCUGUAAGCGGCUUGAGCCGGUCAUGGCCCCUCUGGGCCUUUGCUUCCACCACCCCCCCCCCCGCCCCCCUUGUGAAACGGGGCUGACUCUUCCUGCCUCGUGGGCUGCCAAGAAGAUGAAACAGAAGCCCAUUUGGAAACACCCGGUAUACAGUAGGUGCUCAAUAGGCACGAAUGCCUUUCUGCCCCUUUCCCACCCUCCUGAGGCCGUGGCCACCCCUGCUCUUGUCCCUGAGGCCCUUCCUUCCUUGUCUCUGCCUUAGAGGCGAGACCACCCUGGCUCCUCUCUCCGCGCCCCCCCCUGCCCCCCCAGCUUCCCCUCAGAAACCAGGAGGACCCAUUCCAGGGGCAGAGUCACUGGUGCUAACUUGUCACCAAGGGCCAGCACGCACUCAGCAAACCCAGACUAAGCACCUAUGGUAUGCUAGGCCCCGAGCCAGGCGCUCAACGCAAAUUCUCACGUAAGUCUCAGACAUUAUGGUCCUAGCUUUGCAGGACAGACAACAGGCUCAGAGAGGUGCAGUGGCCAGGACAGGCCCACACAGCAAGAGUGACAGAUGGGGACUCCAGUCCAGCCAGGCCUGUCUCCCUGGCCCACAGCGUUUCCAGGGUGCCCCGAGUCCUUGCUUAGGAGCCGAGGGGAGUCACCCCAGUUCCCGGGAGCCUCAUCUCUACGCCGAAAGCAACAGCCACCGUUUCCUGGACAUUUGCUCUGCCAGGCACCGGGCAGUGUCCUUGGCACAUCUCAGCUUGGGGACACGUCCCAACAGCCCGUGGUGAUUGCCAUCCCCAAUUUUUAGUUUCUUUUUUUUUUUUUCAACGUUUAUUUAUUUUUGGGACAGAGAGAGACAGAGCAUGAAUGGGGGAGGGGCAGAGAGAGAG